GCAGAUGUAGCUCAGCGGUAGAGCACUGUAAAAACCCGUCUCACGAUCCUCGCCCGCGGUCCGCCGUGGGCCGCAGCGAGAUGGUUACAGCCUUCCAAGCCAGUGGCCGCCGGUUCGAAUCCGGUCAUCUGCG
rnacentral:tRNA from 1 species